AGCGAACGCUAGCGGCGGGCUUAACACAUGCAAGUCGAGCGGAGAGCUUCGGCUCUCAGCGGCGAACGGGUGAGUAACACGUAGGUCACGUACCCUUUGAUGGGGAAUAACCUAGGGAAACCUGGGCUAAUACCGCAUAUGUCCUUCGGGAUGAAAGCCUUCGGGCGUCAGAGGAUCGGCCUGCGGCCCAUUAUUUAAUCCUAGUUGGUAGGGUAAUGGCCUACCAAGGGUACGAUGGGUAGCUGGUCUGAGAGGAUGAUCAGCCACACUGGAACUGAGACACGGUUCAGACUCCUACGGGAGGCAGCAGUGGGGAAUAUUGGACAAUGGGCGAAAGCCUGAUCCAGCCACGCCGCGUGGGUGAUGAAGGCCUUCGGGUUGUAAAGCCCUGUCGGGAGGGACGAAUCAAUGACGGUACCUCCCAAGAAAGCACCGGCUAACUCCGUGCCAGCAGCCGCGGUAAAGUAUCGUAACG
rnacentral:rRNA from 1 species